rnacentral:lncRNA from 8 species
AUGUCUAUAUACAGUCUCUCUCUCUCUCCCCGUUUUUCUAUUUCUCUCUCUCUCUCUCUCUCUCUCUCUCUCUCUCUCUCUCUCUCUCCCCCCGUUUUUCUAUUUCUCUCUCUCUCCCUCUCUCUCUCUCCGUUUUUCUAUUUCUCUCUCUCCAUUUUCUAUUUCUCUCUGUCUCUCUCUCCGUUUUUCUAUUUCUCUCUCUCUCUCCGUUUUUCUAUCUCUCUGUUUUUCUAUUUCUCUCCGUUUUUCUAUUUCUCUCUCUCCUCGUUUUUCUAUUUCUCUCUCUCUGUUUUUCUAUUUCUCUCUGUCUCUCCGUUUUUCUAUUUCUCUCUCUCCGUUUUUCUAUUUCUCUCUCUCCGUUUUUCUAUUUCUCUCUCUCUCCCUUUUUCUAUUGCUCUCCCCGUUUUUCUAUUUCUCUCUCUCUCUCCGUUUUUCUAUUUCUCUCUCUCUCCAUUUUCUAUUUCUCUCUGUCUCUCUCUAUGUUUUCUAUUUCUCUCUCUCUCUCCGUUUUUCUAUUUCUCUCUCUCUCCAUUUUUCUAUUUCUCUCUCUCUCCAUUUUUCUAUUUCUCUCUCUCUCCAUUUUUCUAUUUCUCUCUCUCCCCAUUUUUCUAUUUCUCUCUCUCCCCAUUUUUCUAUUUCUCUCUCUCCCCGUUUUUCUAUUUCUCUCUCUCCCCGUUUUUCUAUUUCUCUCUCUCUCUCCGUUUUUCUAUUUCUCUCUCUCUCUCCAUUUUUCUAUUUCUCUCUCUCUCUCCAUUUUACUAUUUCUCUCUCUCCCCGUUUUUCUAUUUCUCUCUCUCCCCGUUUUUCUAUUUCUCUCUCUCCCCGUUUUUCUAUUUCUCUCUCCCCCCGUUUUUCUAUUUCUCUCUCCCCGUUUUUCUAUCUCUCUCUCUCCCCCCGUUUUUCUAUUUCUCUCUCUCUCUCUCUCCGUUUUUCUAUUUCUCUCUCUCUCCAUUUUCUAUUUCUCUCUGUCUCUCUCUAUGUUUUCUAUUUCUCUCUCUCUCUCCGUUUUUCUAUUUCUCUCUCUCUCCAUUUUUCUAUUUCUCUCUCUCUCCAUUUUUCUAUUUCUCUCUCUCUCCAUUUUUCUAUUUCUCUCUCUCCCCAUUUUUCUAUUUCUCUCUCUCCCCAUUUUUCUAUUUCUCUCUCUCCCCGUUUUUCUAUUUCUCUCUCUCUCUUCGUUUUUCUAUUUCUCUCUCUCUCUCCGUUUUUCUAUUUCUCUCUCUCUCUCCAUUUUUCUAUUUCUCUCUCUCUCUCCAUUUUACUAUUUCUCUCUCUCCCCGUUUUUCUAUUUCUCUCUCUCCCCGUUUUUCUAUUUCUCUCUCUCCCCGUUUUUCUAUUUCUCUCUCCCUCUCCGUUUUUCUAUUUCUCUCUCUCUCUCCGUUUUUCUAUUUCUCUCUCUCUCUCCGUUUUUCUAUUCUCCUCUCUCUCUCUCUCCAUUUUUCUAUUUCUCUCUCUCUCCAUUUUUCUAUUUCUCUCUCUCCCCGUUUUUCUAUUUCUCUCUCUCCCCAUUUUUCUAUUUCCCUCUCUCCCCGUUUUUCUAUUUCUCUCUCCCUCUCCGUUUUUCUAUUCUCUCUCUCCCCGUUUUUCUAUCUCUCUCUCUCCCCAUUUUUCUAUCUUUCCCUCUCUCCCCAUUUUUCUAUUUCUCUCUCCCUCCAUUUUUCUAUUUCUCUCUCUCUCCGUUUUUCUAUCUCUCUCUCUCCCCCCGUUUUUCUAUUUCUCUCUCUCUCUCCGUUUUUCUAUUUCUCUCUCUCUCCAUUUUCUAUUUCUCUCUGUCUCUCUCUAUGUUUUCUAUUUCUCUCUCGCUCCGUUUUUCUAUUUCUCUCUCUCUCCAUUUUUCUAUUUCUCUCUCUCUCCAUUUUUCUAUUUCUCUCUCUCUCCAUUUUUCUAUUUCUCUCUCUCCCCAUUUUUCUAUUUCUCUCUCUCCCCAUUUUUCUAUUUCUCUCUCUCCCCAUUUUUCUAUUUCUCUCUCUCCCCAUUUUUCUAUUUCUCUCUCCCCAUUUUUCUAUUUCUCUCUCUCUCUCUCUUCGUUUUUCUAUUUCUCUCUCCCCGUUUUUCUAUCUCUCUCUCUCCCCCCGUUUUUCUAUUUCUCUCUCUCUCUCUCUCUCUCCGUUUUUCUAUUUCUUUCUCUAUCUAUCUCUCUUUUUCAAUUCAAUUCAAUUCAAUUUGCUUUAUUGGCAUGACGUAACAAUAUACAUAUUGCCAAAGCUUAUUUUGGAUAUUUACAAUAUAAAAAAUAAAUAA